GAUGAACGCUGGCGGCGUGCCUAAUACAUGCAAGUCGAGCGAACGGACGAGAAGCUUGCUUUUCUGAUGUUAGCGGCGGACGGGUGAGUAACACGUGGAUAACCUACCUAUAAGACUGGGAUAACUUCGGGAAACCGGAGCUAAUACCGGAUAAUAUUUUGAACCGCAUGGUUCAAAAGUGAAAUACGGUCUUGCUGUCACUUAUAGAUGGAUCCGCGCUGCAUUAGCUAGUUGGUAAGGUAACGGCUUACCAAGGCAACGAUGCAUAGCCGACCUGAGAGGGUGAUCGGCCACACUGGAACUGAGACACGGUCCAGACUCCUACGGGAGGCAGCAGUAGGGAAUCUUCCGCAAAGGGCGAAAGCCUGACGGAGCAACGCCGAGUGAGUGAUGAAGGUCUUCGGAUCGUAAAACUCUGUUAUUAGGGAAGAACAUAUGUGUAAGUAACUGUGCACAUCUUGACGGUACCUAAUCAGAAAGCCACGGCUAACUACGUG
rnacentral:rRNA from 1 species